UACGUAGGGCGCGAGCGUUGUCCGGAAUUAUUGGGCGUAAAGAGCUCGUAGGCGGCCGGUUGCGUCUGCUGUGAAAUCCCGGGGCUUAACCCCGGGCGUGCAGUGGAUACGGGCCGGCUGGAGGCAGGCAGGGGAGAAUGGAAUUCCAGGUGUAGCGGUGAAAUGCGUAGAUAUCUGGAGGAACACCGAUGGCGAAGGCAGCUGCCUGGCCCAGAACUGACGCUGAGGUGCGAAAGCGUGGGGAGCGAACGGG
rnacentral:rRNA from 1 species